AUUGAACGCUGGUGGCAGGCCUAACACAUGCAAGUCGAGCGGAUGAAGGGAGCUUGCUCCUGGAUUCAGCGGCGGACGGGUGAGUAAUGCCUAGGAAUCUGCCUGGUAGUGGGGGAUAACGUCCGGAAACGGGCGCUAAUACCGCAUACGUCCUGAGGGAGAAAGUGGGGGAUCUUCGGACCUCACGCUAUGAGAUGAGCCUAGGUCGGAUUAGCUAGUUGGUGGGGUAAAGGCCUACCAAGGCGACGAUCCGUAACUGGUCUGAGAGGAUGAUCAGUCACACUGGAACUGAGACACGGUCCAGACUCCUACGGGAGGCAGCAGUGGGGAAUAUUGGACAAUGGGCGAAAGCCUGAUCCAGCCAUGCCGCGUGUGUGAAGAAGGUCUUCGGAUUGUAAAGCACUUUAAGUUGGGAGGAAGGGCAGUAAGUUAAUACCUUGCUGUUUUGACGUUACCAACAGAAUAAGCACCGGCUAACUUCGUG
rnacentral:rRNA from 1 species